ACGGGAGGCAGCAGUGGGGAAUAUUGCACAAUGGGGGAAACCCUGAUGCAGCGACGCCGCGUGGGUGAUGAAGUAUUUCGAUAUGUAAAGCCCUAUCAGCAGGGAAGAUAAUGACGGUACCUGACUAAGAAGCCCCGGCUAAAUACGUGCCAGCAGCCGCGGUAAUACGUAUGGGGCAAGCGUUAUCCGGAUUUACUGGGUGUAAAGGGAGCGCAGGCGGUUUCGUAAGUUGAGUGUGAAAACCCGGGGCUCAACCCCGGGACUGCACCCAAAACUGCGGGACUAGAGUGUCGGAGGGGCAAGCGGAAUUCCUAGUGUAGCGGUGAAAUGCGUAGAUAUUAGGAGGAACACCGGUGGCGAAGGCGGCUUGCUGGACGAUAACUGACGCUGAGGCUCGAAAGCGUGGGGAGCAAACAGGAUUAGAUACCCUGGUA
rnacentral:rRNA from 1 species